rnacentral:rRNA from 1 species
AUUGAACGCUGGCGGCAGGCCUAACACAUGCAAGUCGAACGAGUGGCGGACGGGUGAGUAAUGUCUGGGAAACUGCCCGUUGGAGGGGGAUAACUGAUGGAAACGGUAGCUAAUACCGCAUACCAUCGGAUCUGCCCAGAUGGGGCUAGAUAGUAGGUGGGGUAACGGCUCACCUAGGCGACGAUCCCUAGCUGGUCUGAGAGGAUGACCAGCCACACUGGAAAUGAGACACGGUCCAGACUCCUACGGGAGGCAGCAGUGGGGAAUAUUGCACAAUGGGCGAAAGCCUGAUACAGCCAUGCCGCGUGUAUGAAGAAGGCCUUCGGGUUGUAAAGCACUUUCAGCGGGGAGGCGUUACUCACAGAAGAAGCACCGGCUAACUCCGUGCCAGCAGCCGCGGUAAUAC